rnacentral:snoRNA from 1 species
AGGACUAUACUUUCAGGGAUCAUUUCUAUAGUAUCCAACUAGAGAAAUGCACUCGAAAGUGAUUGGCUGAGGAUGAGGUCCCUAUUGUUAAUUUGUUCCUAUGGUCAACAACAGUACAAUGCUGUUACCGCUGUAUGGCACUUUACAUUAUCUCCCCUGAUGAUAUAGCAGAGCUAAAUAUAACAUCUGA